rnacentral:rRNA from 1 species
CCGGGCACUCUGGAUGGACUGCCGGCGACAAGCCGGAGGAAGGUGGGAGUGACGUCAAGUCAUCAUGGCCCUUAUGUCCAGGGCGACACACGUGCUACAAUGGCCGGCACAGCGGGAAGCGAGGGGGCGACCGUUGAGCGGAUCCCUCAAAGCCGGUCUCAGUUCGGAUUGCAGUCUGCAACUCGACUGCAUGAAGUUGGAAUCGCUAGUAAUCGUGGAUCAGCCAAGCCGCGGUGAAUACGUUCCCGGGCCUU